GGGUAUAUAACUCAGUUGAUAGAGUGCUUGCCUUGCAUGCUCAAGGCCUUGGGUUCAAUCCCCAGUAUCAUCCC
rnacentral:tRNA from 1 species